rnacentral:rRNA from 1 species
GAUGAACGCUGGCGGCGUGCCUAAUACAUGCAAGUCGAACGACCGGACAAUAAGCUUUCUCCUCUGCGGUUAGCGACGGACGGGUGAGUAACACGUGCAUAACCUACCUCUAUUACUUGGAUGACUUCGUAAAGCCGGAUCUACUACCACCUAAUAUAUUGUACCGCAUAGUUCAAUAGUUAAUGACGGCUUUUCUGUCACUUAUAGAUGGAUCCGCGCUGGAUUAUCUAGUUGGUAAGGUAAAGGCCUACCCAGGCAACGAUGCAUAUCCGCACUGAGAGGGGGAUCGGCCACCAUGGAACUGAGACACGGUCCAGACUCCUACGGGAGGCAGCAGUAGGGAAUCUUAGGCAAUGGGGGGAAGCCUGGCCGAGCCACGCCGCGUGGGUGAAGAAGGUCUUCGGGUUGUAAAACCCUUUUUUUGGGGAAGAAAAGAAGUUGAAUUAAACGAGGCUGGUCUGACGGUACCCAAAGAAGAAGCCACGGCUAACUUCGUG